UGCCCGGUUUUAGGGUUCCGCUGGCCAGCGCCAGUAGCGCCCGCGGUGCACGCCCAGACACGGCGCUGGGUUUGCGCAGAGACCUCUGGGUUUGGCCAUCUCCCUAGAAGUCGAAAUCGCUAGAAAUGGCCCCCCGGAAUGAAAGGCCGAAGCCCAGGAGAGCGGACCCCUGACCCCGACGCGUGGGGCGCUGCACCAGCACUCGGGCUCUGGGCUGUGUCCUGACCUGCCGCUGUUGCUGGGCGCUUUUCUCUGAGCCAGGUUUCCGGGAGCCAGGUGGCUCGUGCCAGGCAGAGAGCGGAGGUUUGGGGGUGCGGCGGUCGUAGGGAGGAAUGUCAGGCUAGCAGCGCUGGGGCUGUGAAAGGGGAGUUGUGUUCCUUGCAGGGGGUUGGGAAUGGUUUUCAGCCGGCCAGGUCGUGGGUGCCGGUCGCUGUCGCUGUUUAUAAUGCCUGCGGUAGCUGGGUGCGCUAUUGCCUGGCUUGAUGACACAUUGCUGCCUCCUUCCGCGAUGUCUGUCUGAGCCGCCCACAGUAGAGAGGAGGAGAGGGCUGUUGAAUGUUGACAGCUGGCUUUCUUCUCUUCCCUCGUGUCCCUGGGAGAAGGGCGUGUCUGGCCUGCUAGGUAGCUCCCCCCAAUGCUAGAGCACUGCUUCCUUUUGGGGACACUGACUCCCUGGGUCUGUCAACCGGCCCCCUCCUGCAGCUCAUGUGGGAAUGGCUCUGAGUGAGAGAACAGAAGCCUGAACUUUGUCAGUGGCCAGAGGCAGAACACCAGAUGGAGCACUCGCCCUGUGAUUCCUGCCAUCGUAUGGACUGAUGCCCCAGCUCUCCUCUCCCUGGCUCUCCCCACGGCUGCGGGGAGAGGUAGCGAGGAGACUCUUCCCGUCCCUGACGCCCUGUGCAGAAACCAUGCAAUUGGCUGCUGCUGAUCCUCGGUCUCCUCCGCGGGCCUAGGGCCCAGCCUGCGAGCCUGACGCAGCGGAGUGGUGCCCUGAAAACUCUCCUGUUGCAGGGCGAGAUUGUGUGGUCCCCAAAAGGCCCCGCUGCAGGGACUGCGAUUGAACUGGUUCCUCAGCCAAAGUGAAGGAAGGGGCCUGAGGGAUCGUGCCCACUUGGCUGGCUCGAAUCCAUCUUACUGGGUUUGCCUUUGUUCUGCUGCCAGCGCACAGGGUGGCAUGACUCCUCCACCAGCCUGAGACCCGGCAUGCCUGGCUGCCCUUUCCCGAAGUGUCUCUCCCUGUUGCUGGUCCAUGUGGUGCACUCCGAACUGUUCUCAUUUGUGUUACCUUAGCACCUCGGCGCUCAGGCGUGGGCAUCACUGUGCUCUGUGCACAACCCAGAAGCACCCUUGCCCCCGGCGUUGGGGGUGAAGCGUAACGCGAGAGAACAGGUGGAUGCAGACCCGGGGGAUGCGGGUCAGGAGCCCGUUGUCCAGCACCCUGGGUGGAGCGGUUUGUAGGCAGCAUGGCGGAGGCGCGCUCUGAGGAGGGAUCUGAAGGAGAAGGCAUCGUUUUGUGUGCUGCCAACCUCCCACGCCGGCGGGGCAGCGCGAGAGAAAGCACACAGGGGCCAACUCAAUCGAGAUGCCAAAUGAAUUGCCUGGGGCCGCUGAGGGAGUCGGUGUCGGAAUGGGAGUAGAACUCAGCAGGUCUGGGCGUUGAACCACGUGAGCGCUCAGGGUCACAGAAUUCCCAGGGGCCUCUGAAUGAGCCGGGGGAGAAUAACAUGCGAAGGGUGCUAAAAUGCAGUAGGAGCUGGACUGCCACCCAGUUCUUACUACGUUCAAACUGGAGAGCCACAGCGGGGUGUGCGCCACCCCAGGCCUGCUCGCACUGCCCCCAGGAGCUAGCCCCGCUGUGCCUCUGCCUUUUAAAUGUAGUAGGAGCCUUCGGGCUCAUCGCGUAGGCGGCUGCCCAGCCAGUCGCGAUCACCCCCAUAACAUGCAUGCGCUAAAUGAGCUCCGGUAGCCGUGGCUCCCUCCCGUCAGUGUGUUCAGUGAGCUCACAGGCGGGGCUGGCUGACGAGGGGCCAGAAAAUGAAGCUAAAGGAAAUUGAGCGAACUGCUGUUCAGGUGUGGAGUCCAGCAAGCCACCACCCCAUCUACCUAGCAACAGGAACGUCUGCUCAGCAGCUGGACGCCUCCUUCAGCACAAAUGCCGCCCUGGAAAUCUUCGAGAUUGACUUCAGGGACCCUUCCCUGGACAUGCAGUGCAGAGGGAGCCUUCCUGCAGCCAGCAGGU